GGGGCUGUAACUCAGUGGUAGAGUGCCUCGUUUGCAUUUAUACAGCAGCUAUUGCGUAUUCUGUUUCGAUGAAGUCCAGGGUUCAAUCCCCUGCCGCUCCA
rnacentral:tRNA from 1 species